rnacentral:misc_RNA from 1 species
CUUAUUGCAAUAACAAUUUUAGAACUAAUAAUUUUUUAAACAUUUUUUUUUGAAUUUUUGUAAAUAAUAAAAAUAAUGAAAAGUGUUUUUGAAAAUCCCAAUGUUUCCCCUUUCCCACUUUUUAAUUUUUUUUUUCAAUUUCUUGCUAUUAUAGUCAACUUUUUAAUUUUGAGAAUUUUAAAUUGAUUUUAAAUAUUUAUUAUUUUUAGUGAGCAGUGAGAAUUAAAAUAAAUUGACGGUCAAAAUUAUGUCUAAAAGAGAAAUCGACAAUCAAAAUUAUAUCACGUUAACUGAAUUAAAUUAACUAUGACUAUAGGUCACCGAUGGACUCAGCGUAUUGAGACCUUCGAGAUGGGACCGACCCUGCUCCAAUCGGACAUCAUUUGAAAAAAGCGAUUAUCGGACGGCUUAGAUUGCUUAGUGAGACAUUUGACUUUUUGAUGCUUGAAAAUUAAAUAUAAUUAUAUGAUAAUUAUUAAUAAUUUUUAGGCUUCGUUCAGGUGUGAUCGGAUUGAUGAUAGCUCACCGGCAAUCGAGACCGAGUUUUUAGCUCGAUCCAGCUGCCUGAUACACUUGUCUUAUAUAGAUAUUUUUAAGUACAUUUGUAUAAUAUUUCAUGCCAUUUAGAAUAGCAAUCCCAUGCAUAGUCAUUGAUUUUAUUAACUUUUGUAAAUUCCAGUGCCAAGCUCUAAAUUCCAUGUUUCUGCAGUAUUUCAGGUGUUUUGGUGAAGUCACAGAGCAUAGGAGUGCAAAGGGAGGCUUGGAGAGGUCAAAAGACUGAGAAUUGCUGCUAAUACAAAGUACAUGGGCAGUGUAAGCAAAGCCACAGGCCCGUGUAACCUUCUGCCAGAUGAAAGCCAGAGAGCCAAUGGAGGAACAAAAGUACACGAGUCGUGUAAUUGGACCCGUGUAAGUCUCUGCCGGGCACAAGCUUGAAGAAUUUCCUGAGAACAAAAGUACACGGGUUGUGUAACCAGGCCUGUGUAGCCAAUGCAGACUCAUGUAAACCUCUGUGCCAAUGCAAGACUCUGCCAUUUCGCUCCAGUAAGUUAAAUGGCCCAGGGCCGUGUAGUGACACACGGGCCGUGUAUAAUGUGGCAGCCAGUUUCCUAACCCGAAUUCCCGCUCUUGUUUACAGAUUCAAAACAUGCUCCUAAGGCUUUUUGGCCUCAAAAUGACCUAACCCUAGAAUAGCUAUUAUAAAUAGAAGCAGAAAAUAUCAAGAAAAGGGAGAUCAAUCUUUUUCAGAGCUUUUUAGGAGUUUCAAAGAGUGCUCGCUUCUGCACUCUCUUCAGCUGUCUUGAGGAGAGGAAUAUCAGUAUCAUGGAGCAGUUUUUCAGCCAAAGUUCCACAAGAUCAAAGUUGUAAACCCUCUUCGGUUCUUUCAUUCCAUCUCCUUAAAUGGAUUUUUAUUGUUCUUUACUUCAUUUUUAUUAUGUUUGCUGAACUCACCAUGAGUAAGUAAUUUCCAUAUUUUAGAAUUAGG